UUUUUGGAGAGUUUGAUCCUGGCUCAGGAUUAACGCUGGCGGUGUGUCUAAUACAUGCAAGUCGAACGGCUCGCAAGAGCAGUGGCAAACGGGUGAGUAACACGUUGGUACAUGCCCCGAAGUGAGGGAUACCCCGUAGAAAUACGGGUUAAUACCGCAUAUGAUCGCAAGAUUAAAGCAGCAAUGCGCUUCGGGAAUGGCCUGCGUACUAUCAGCUAGUUGGUGAGAUAAUAGCUCACCAAGGCUAUGACGGUUAACUGGUCUGAGAGGAUGAUCAGUCACAGGGAAACUGAGACACGGUUCCCACUCCUACGGGAGGCAGCAGUAAGGAAUCUUUCGCAAUGGGGGAAACCCUGACGAAGCGACACCGCGUGAACGAUGAAGGUCGGAAGAUCGUAAAGUUCUUUUCUGAAGGAAAAAUUCUGAUUGUACUUCAGGAAUAAGCACCGGCUAACUCCGUGCCAGCAGCCGCGGUAAGACGGAGGGUGCAAGCGUUAUCCGGAAUCAUUGGGCGUAAAGUGUUCUCAGGUGGUUUUUUAAGUCAAAUGUCAAAGCCUGAAGCUUAACUUCAGUCCGGUAAUUGAUACUGAAAGACUCGAGAUCUGGAGGGGCAAGUGGAAUUUUGCGUGUAGGGGUAAAAUCCGUUGAUACGCAAAGGAACACCAAAAGCGAAAGCAGCUUGCUGGCCAGUUUCUGACACUUAUGAACGAAAGCGUGGGGAGCGAAAAGGAUUAGAUACCCUUGUAGUCCACGCCCUAAACUAUGAUUACUAGGUGUAGGUUCGGCUCGACCUGAAUCUGUGCCGUCGCAAACGCAUUAAGUAAUCCGCCUGGGUAGUACGGUCGCAAGACUAAAACUCAAAGGAAUAGACGGGAGCCCACACAAGCGGAGGAGCAUCUGGUUUAAUUCGAUAACAAACGAGGAACCUUACCAGGGCUUGACAUCUAGAGAAUCUUUCCGAAAGGAGAGAGUGCCGCAAGGAACUCUAAGACAGGUGCUGCAUGGUUGUCGUCAGCUCGUGCCUUGAGGUGUACGGUUAAGUCCGUUAACGAGCGCAACCCUCGUCAUGUGUUAAAUAUUCACAUGAGACUGCCCCGGCCAACGGGGAGGAAGGUGGGGAUGACGUCAAAUCAGCAUGGCCCUUAUGCCCUGGGCAACACAGGUGCUACAAUGGUCGACACAAUAGGGAGCAAAGGAGUAAUCCGAAGCAAAUCCUAAAAAAUCGAUCUAAGUUCGGAUUGAGGGCUGCAACUCGCCCUCAUGAAGCUGGAUUCGCUAGUAAACGCGUAUCAGCCAUGGCGCGUUGAAUAUGUUCCUGGGCUUUGUACUCACCGCCCGUCAAGCUAUGGAAGGAAGGGGCAUCUGAAGUCCGCAUUAGCGGCCUAGGGUGAAACUUCUGACUGGAGCUAAGUCGUAACAAGGUAUCCGUAGGAGAACCUGCGGAUGGAAUACCUCUUUU
rnacentral:rRNA from 1 species